UACGUAGGGUGCGAGCGUUUAAUCGGAAUUACUGGGCGUAAAGUGUGCGCAGGCGGCAGAGCAAGUCGAGUGUGAAAGCCCCCGGGCUUAACUUGGGAAUUGCGCUCGAAACUACUUUUGCUGGAGUGUGGCAGAGGAAGGUGGAAUUCCACGUGUAGCGGUGAAAUGCGUAGAGAUGUGGAGGAACACCAAUGGCGAAGGCAGCCUUCUGGGCCAACACUGACGCUCAUGCACGAAAGCGUGGGGAGCAAACAGG
rnacentral:rRNA from 1 species